rnacentral:rRNA from 1 species
GAUGAACUUUGGCGGCGUGCCUAAUACAUGCAAGUCGAGCGAACGGACGAGAAGCUUGCUUCUCUGAUGUUAGCGGCGGACGGGUGAGUAACACGUGGAUAACCUACCUAUAAGACUGGGAUAACUUCGGGAAACCGGAGCUAAUACCGGAUAAUAUUUUGAACCGCAUGGUUCAAAAGUGAAAGACGGUCUUGCUGUCACUUAUAGAUGGAUCCGCGCUGCAUUAGCUAGUUGGUAAGGUAACGGCUUACCAAGGCAACGAUGCAUAGCCGACCUGAGAGGGUGAUCGGCCACACUGGAACUGAGACACGGUCCAGACUCCUACGGGAGGCAGCAGUAGGGAAUCUUCCGCAAUGGGCGAAAGCCUGACGGAGCAACGCCGCGUGAGUGAUGAAGGUCUUCGGAUCGUAAAACUCUGUUAUUAGGGAAGAACAUAUGUGUAAGUAACUGUGCACAUCUUGACGGUACCUAAUCAGAAAGCCACGGCUAACUACGUGCCAGCAGCCGCGGUAAUACGUAGGUGGCAAGCGUUAUCCGGAAUUAUUGGGCGUAAAGCGCGCGUAGGCGGUUUUUUAAGUCUGAUGUGAAAGCCCACGGCUCAACCGUGGAGGGUCAUUGGAAACUGGAAAACUUGAGUGCAGAAGAGGAAAGUGGAAUUCCAUGUGUAGCGGUGAAAUGCGCAGAGAUAUGGAGGAACACCAGUGGCGAAGGCGACUUUCUGGUCUGUAACUGACGCUGAUGUGCGAAAGCGUGGGGAUCAAACAGGAUUAGAUACCCUGGUAGUCCACGCCGUAAACGAUGAGUGCUAAGUGUUAGGGGGUUUCCGCCCCUUAGUGCUGCAGCUAACGCAUUAAGCACUCCGCCUGGGGAGUACGACCGCAAGGUUGAAACUCAAAGGAAUUGACGGGGACCCGCACAAGCGGUGGAGCAUGUGGUUUAAUUCGAAGCAACGCGAAGAACCUUACCAAAUCUUGACAUCCUUUGACAACUCUAGAGAUAGAGCCUUCCCCUUCGGGGGACAAAGUGACAGGUGGUGCAUGGUUGUCGUCAGCUCAUGUCGUGAGAUGUUGGGUUAAGUCCCGCAACGAGCGCAACCCUUAAGCUUAGUUGCCAUCAUUAAGUUGGGCACUCUAAGUUGACUGCCGGUGACAAACCGGAGGAAGGUGGGGAUGACGUCAAAUCAUCAUGCCCCUUAUGAUUUGGGCUACACACGUGCUACAAUGGACAAUACAAAGGGCAGCGAAACCGCGAGGUCAAGCAAAUCCCAUAAAGUUGUUCUCAGUUCGGAUUGUAGUCUGCAACUCGACUACAUGAAGCUGGAAUCGCUAGUAAUCGUAGAUCAGCAUGCUACGGUGAAUACGUUCCCGGGUCU